rnacentral:lncRNA from 10 species
AGGUUUUCUCCUGGCGCAUGGGCGCCGCCAAUCAUUUCGGGGCUUAUUUUGGUUCUAAAGCCCGGGGCAGCCAGGCCUCCCUGCCUGGCCUCGGCGGGGACGCGGGACCUGGGGCCCCGGACCGGGCCUAACCGCCCUGGCCGGUCCCCACUGAUGGUGGCGGUCGGUCCUGAUCGUCCUGAUGGCAGCGACCAGGCUGGACUCGGGCUGUGCAGGGGCGAGGGGAGCAGGGCGGGGUGACGCCCGGAGAGCGGCCUGGAGAGCGCGUGCUUCAGAAGGCGUGGGCACCCUGUCCCCUUUGCAGAUGGGGAUGCAGGCCCUGGUGGCGGUGGAGGGGAGAUGGGGGCAGGGACGUUGCCGGGCAGAGGAAGCUGGUUUGGCUGCUGUAACUGACUGGGAAGCUUAAAAUAACAGACAAUCAUCUCUCACAUUUAUGGGGACUGGGAAGUCCAAGACCAAGUUGCCAUCUGGGGAGGGCCUGUUCCUCACAGCGCCUUCCAGCUCAGGCCUCGUUUAUAAGGGCACUCAAGCCUUCCACGACAACGGGUCCUCAUGACUUACUCACCUCGGAAAGCCCCACCCCCAAGACCAUCACAUUGUGGGUGAUGGCAGAGCAUAAGGUGCCUUCCCCACAUGCUCGGGUUGGCCCAGCGUCUCACGCUAGCAGCUACGUGGAAUAGUUAUUUUUUCUGGAGAACUCUGGGACCCCUCUGAUGUCUUGGAGCACCCACACAGGCCGUUCACUGUGCACGCUGUGAGGCUGUCGUCUUGGAGCACCCACACAGGCCGUUCACUGUGCACGUGGUGAGGCUGUCCUCUGGGGAGUUCUGCUGUUGUAUGGGUUCUGUCUGUGUCAAUGUCCCAGCGGGAACGCAGGGCACACUAGCGUCAUCCCCAGAGGGCUUGGUAAGGGGACUGUUUGCAGAGACAUAGGCAGAGGGCUGGAAAACUACCAAAAAAGUGCAGUGUUCUGGACCUAAUAAUAGCAGAGCUAUUCUCACCCUGGUCUGAAGGCAGGAGGGGAGGAGCAGUUAAUGGAUUCUGGAAGUCAGGUUGCACAGAGUCACCUUGAAAGAUGCCAUGACCUUCACCGAGGGCCAGACAGAGACUAAGAUGACCCCAUAGGAGAAUAAGACCUAGACCUCAUCCUCCUGCCUCCUGCCAGUCCCUGCCAGGGGUCGCCAAUGGCAAAACAGGACUGGAAGCCAGAGGCCAUGGAAGCCCAUGGAUGAAGUCCACAGGCCAGCCUCCCCGAGAGCAGCCUGGACGGUCCGCAGGAGACGUCUCCUGUCUUAGGCGUCCCACGCCGCGUGCUCCUGUUCAGCCCUGCCGAGGUGGAAGCUUGGAGUGGCUCACGGUGGAUGCAUUGACGCUGCAGACGCCAGCAAGUGCUACAAACCAGAGCUGGCCUUUAACUCAGACUGAUGGAGAAGGUGUUAAUAAUGCAGAUUAGACUUAAAAGUGUUGAAGCCAUUGCACUGUGAACAGCAAAAAAAUUGAAGAACUCUUCUGGCAUUUAAAAACAAUUACUCAGUUCAGCAGAGAAGUCACUGACAAACGAGAUCACACUGACUGCUUUGUCGUUUUGGUUUUGUCUUACUCAUUAAUGCAAAUAAGAACAUUCACUAGCAUCUGUGUCGGGCCUACCCUCCCUGGUCAAAUACAGCUACAGUCUCCCUGCAGAAACGAGUUUUCCAGAAAUGAGCCGAUGUUUUCUGCGAGAAUCAAUUGGUCAUAUACAAUUUACAAAAAUGAGUACUGUAUACUAUAUUUGUAAACUGUACACUGCAGAUGCUUUAUUUCACUGAAAUUUAUAAUACACUUAUCCAUGUAUAUGCAUGCAUGCAUUUUUGUUCCUGAGAUCCAGCUGUGAAAUGUUUACCAGCACAUAAAUUACCAGCACAUGCUCUUUUUUGUUAACCUACUAGGUAAAAUCUUCAUUUAUUACAUCAAAUUCUUGUAGUUUUUGUAUUGCAAUUAUGCAGAUAUUGAUUAUCGCAGUAUUACUGCAAUUAUACAGAUACCACAAUUUCAGAUAUUGAUCAGCGUGUUCAGUUGGUUUCUAAGGAGGUUUACUUACCUCAUGGUACACCUAGUUUGCAUAGUUUGAUUAUAUUUAACUCUUAUGCUAAUUGGGGGAAGUCAUUGAUUUAUUGGACAGAUGCACCUGUGGUCUUCCCUGAGCACAUCCUGGCCAAGGAUGCUGCCCCCAGGAGAUUUGAGAAGUCCUGUAAGGAUCAUAUCAGUAUUUUCAAAUACUUAUAGAAAAGCCAGAGGGAUUGACCCAGAAUUACCAAUAUAAGCUUGACCCUGAGAUAACAAUGCCAUUUUAUGUUUGCAUGCAUAAAACCAAUGCAAGAGGCUGAUGACUCCAGAUCCCUUAUAUAAGCCAAUAAAAAGUAGUUUCAUUUUUUAUUUCAUUUAAAAAAGUGUACCAUUAACCUAAA